rnacentral:rRNA from 1 species
CAGUCGCCGCGGUAAUACAGAGGGUGCGAGCGUUAAUCGGAUUUACUGGGCGUAAAGCGUGCGUAGGCGGCUUUUUAAGUCGGAUGUGAAAUCCCUGAGCUUAACUUAGGAAUUGCAUUCGAUACUGGGAAGCUAGAGUAUGGGAGAGGAUGGUAGAAUUCCAGGUGUAGCGGUGAAAUGCGUAGAGAUCUGGAGGAAUACCGAUGGCGAAGGCAGCCAUCUGGCCUAAUACUGACGCUGAGGUACGAAAGCAUGGGGAGCAAACAGGAUUAGAUAACCCUGUAGUCCCUGUCUCUUAUAA